rnacentral:rRNA from 1 species
GACGAACGCUUGCGGCGUGCUUAACACAUGCAAGUCGAACGGAAAGGCCCUGCUUUUGUGGGGUGCUCGAGUGGCGAACGGGUGAGUAACACGUGAGUAACCUGCCCUUGACUUUGGGAUAACUUCAGGAAACUGGGGCUAAUACCGGAUAGGAGCUCCUGCUGCAUGGUGGGGGUUGGAAAGUUUCGGCGGUUGGGGAUGGACUCGCGGCUUAUCAGCUUGUUGGUGGGGUAGUGGCUUACCAAGGCUUUGACGGGUAGCCGGCCUGAGAGGGUGACCGGCCACAUUGGGACUGAGAUACGGCCCAGACUCCUACGGGAGGCAGCAGUGGGGAAUAUUGCACAAUGGGCGGAAGCCUGAUGCAGCAACGCCGCGUGCGGGAUGACGGCCUUCGGGUUGUAAACCGCUUUCGCCUGUGACGAAGCGUGAGUGACGGUAAUGGGUAAAGAAGCACCGGCUAACUACGUGCCAGCAGCCGCGGUGAUACGUAGGGUGCGAGCGUUGUCCGGAUUUAUUGGGCGUAAAGGGCUCGUAGGUGGUUGAUCGCGUCGGAAGUGUAAUCUUGGGGCUUAACCCUGAGCGUGCUUUCGAUACGGGUUGACUUGAGGAAGGUAGGGGAGAAUGGAAUUCCUGGUGGAGCGGUGGAAUGCGCAGAUAUCAGGAGGAACACCAGUGGCGAAGGCGGUUCUCUGGGCCUUUCCUGACGCUGAGGAGCGAAAGCGUGGGGAGCGAACAGGCUUAGAUACCCUGGUAGUCCACGCUGUAAACGGUGGGUACUAGGUGUGGGGUCCAUUCCACGGGUUCCGUGCCGUAGCUAACGCUUUAAGUACCCCGCCUGGGGAGUACGGCCGCAAGGCCAAAACUCAAAGGAAUUGACGGGGCCCCGCACAAGCGGCGGAGCAUGCGGAUUAAUUCGAUGCAACGCGUAGAACCUUACCUGGGUUUGACAUGGAUCGGGAGUGCUCAGAGAUGGGUGUGCCUCUUUUGGGGUCGGUUCACAGGUGGUGCAUGGCUGUCGUCAGCUCGUGUCGUGAGAUGUUGGGUUAAGUCCCGCAACGAGCGCAACCCUUGUUCACUGUUGCCAGCACGUUAUGGUGGGGACUCAGUGGAGACCGCCGGGGUCAACUCGGAGGAAGGUGGGGAUGACGUCAAGUCAUCAUGCCCCUUAUGUCCAGGGCUUCACGCAUGCUACAAUGGCUGGUACAGAGAGUGGCGAGCCUGUGAGGGUGAGCGAAUCUCGGAAAGCCGGUCUCAGUUCGGAUUGGGGUCUGCAACUCGACCUCAUGAAGUCGGAGUCGCUAGUAAUCGCAGAUCAGCAACGCUGCGGUGAAUACGUUCCCGGGGCU